UUAUGAAAUCCUAGAUCUGAUAUAAAAUAUAUCUACUCGCUAUAAACGUAUAUAUAGGACAUAGUGUACCAAAGGCUAGAGAUUUUUCUAUGCAGUUCAUUAAAAGGCAGAGGCAAAGAUUGAUGUGAGAGUAUCUCGUAACAAGGCGGUACAUAUACAUAUAAGUAUAUGACCAAAGGCAGAUAUCUGAGCCUCUGCAAAAUUUAACUUGGGGAAUAGUCCUGGAAGUAUCCUGUAACUAUAAGUGAUUAGAACGACACAAGAAAAAUCACCGGUGGCAGAGCAAGGGUGGCUGAAGGGCACAUAAAGGGCACUGAUAUAUAUAUAUAUAUAUAUAUACCUUUAUAACUCAGCGUAAUUCUAUAAAAGAAUUUUUUUUUGUGGUCCCUUAAGGAUAAAUAGAUACUUAAUAUUCAAGUUUUAUUUUUUUUUGCUUUAAAUGUUUUUUUUUGAUAAUUUUUUUUAUUAAUUUGAAUCUUUGUAAAAAGAAGGAAAAUCAAUUAAGAAUAAUUUUUUUUUGAUAAAUUAAAAAUUGAAGAAACUAACAAAAAAAAAAAAAAAAAAAGAAAUU